GAUGAACGCUGGCGGCGUGCCUAAUACAUGCAAGUCGAGCGAACAGACGAGGAGCUUGCUCCUCUGACGUUAGCGGCGGACGGGUGAGUAACACGUGGAUAACCUACCUAUAAGACUGGGAUAACUUCGGGAAACCGGAGCUAAUACCGGAGAAUAUAUUGAACCACAUGGUUGAAUAGUGAAAGACGGUGUUGCUGGCACUUAUAGAUGGAUCCGCGCCGUAUUAGCUAGUUGGUCCGGUAACAGCUUACCAAGGCUACGAGGCGUAGCCGACCGGAGAGGGUGAUCGGCCACAUUGGAACGGAGACACGGUCCAGACUCCUACGGGAGGCAGCAGUAGGGAAUGUUCCGCAAUGGGCGAAAGCCUGACGGAGCAACGCCGCGUGAGUGAUGAAGGUCUUCGGAUCGUAAAACUCUGUUAUUAGGUAAGAACAAAUGUGUAAGUAACUAUGCACGUCUUGACGGUACCUAAUCAGAAAGCAACGGCUAACUACGUG
rnacentral:rRNA from 1 species